rnacentral:misc_RNA from 1 species
UUGGGACAAACUUCCAGUUUUGUAAUUUCUGAGCUUACUAUCUGAUUUCACAAGUGUCAGAAGGUGUUUAUUUUGCCCCCUUUUCGAGGGCAUUUAUGGAGAACGUUUUGAAGACUACAAGUAUGCAUGUGAUUGAAGCAAUACUUUGACACCGAGUUGUCAUCCACUGUGAAGCUCUUCAUGUUUAGUGUAAGGUUGGAGAUGUCUUUUGAAUGUAAAAUACCUUUAUUUGUCUGCAUUAUUUUGAAUUAUUAUAUGAGAUGUUGUCGAAACUUUUGAAUUGCCUUCUUUAUAAAUAUGUCCAAGAUUGCUUUGGGGUUUCGGGUU